UGGGGAAUAUUGCACAAUGGGCGCAAGCCUGAUGCAGCCAUGCCGCGUGUGUGAAGAAGGCCUUCGGGUUGUAAAGCACUUUCAGCGAGGGGGAAGGGUGGUGAGCUUAAUACGCUCAUCAAUUGACGUUACUCGCAGAAGAAGCACCGGCUAACUCCGUGCCAGCAGCCGCGGUAAUACGGAGGGUGCAAGCGUUAAUCGGAAUUACUGGGCGUAAAGCGCACGCAGGCGGUUUGUUAAGUCAGAUGUGAAAUCCCCGGGCUCAACCUGGGAACUGCAUUUGAAACUGGCAAGCUAGAGUCUCGUAGAGGGGGGUAGAAUUCCAGGUGUAGCGGUGAAAUGCGUAGAGAUCUGGAGGAAUACCGGUGGCGAAGGCGGCCCCCUGGACGAAGACUGACGCUCAGGUGCGAAAGCGUGGGGCAGCAAACAGGAUUAGAUACCCUGGUAGUCCACGCUGUAAACGAUGUCGAUUUUGGAGGUUGUGCCCUUGAGGCGUGGCUUCCGGAGCUAACGCGUUAAAUCGACCGCCUGGGGAGUACGGCCGCAAGGUUAAAACUC
rnacentral:rRNA from 1 species